ACUAAAUCUAGCCCCACCAACCCUACAUAUAACCUUUCGACUACAUUAAAUCAAAACAUUUACUUAUUAAAAAGUAUAGGAGAUAGAAAUUUUACUAAGGCGCAAUAGAGAUAGUACCGCAAGGGAAUGAUGAAAGACAACUUAAUAGUAAAAAACAGCAAGGAUUAACCCCUUUACCUUUUGCAUAAUGAAUUAACUAGAAAAAUCUGACAUAGAGAACUGUAGCCAGAAACCCCGAAAUCAGACGAGCUAUCUGAUAGUAAUCCCUAGGAUCAAUUCAUCUAUGUGGCAAAAUAGUGAAAAAACUUACAGAUAGAGGUGAAAUACCAAUCGAGCCUGAUGAUAGCUGGUUGUCCAGAAAUAGAAUUUCAGUUCUACCUAAAACUUACCACAAAAAAAAUGAAACAAUUCCAAUGUAAGUUUUAGAGAUACUCAAAAGGGGUACAGCCCUUUUGACCAAGGAUACAACCUUAAUUAGCGAGUAAAUUUGUCAUUAAUUUCAUAGUUGGCUUGGAAGCAGCCAUCAAUUAAGAAAGCGUUAAAGCUCAACAACUAACUAAACUAAAAAUCCCAAAGAUUAAUCAAUGACCUCCUAAACGUAAUACUGGACUAAUCUAUAUGAAUAGAAGAAAUAAUGUUAGUAUAAGUAAUAAGAAGUAUUUCUCCCUGCACAAGCUUAUAUCAGGUCGGAUGCCCACUGAUAGUUAACAGUUAAAUAAUUAAAUAUAAAAAUGAAACCUUUAUUAUACCAACUGUUAAUCCAACACAGGUGUGCUUAAGGGAAAGAUUAAAAGAAGUAAAAGGAACUCGGCAAACACAAACCCCGCCUGUUUACCAAAAACAUCACCUCGAGCAUGACCAGUAUUCGAGGCACUGCCUGCCCAGUGACCAAGUGUUAAACGGCCGCGGUACUCUGACCGUGCAAAGGUAGCAUAAUCAUUUGUUCCUUAAUUAGGGACUUGUAUGAAUGGCCACACGAGGGUUUAACUGUCUCUUUCUUCUAAUCAAUGAAAUUGACCUUCUCGUGAAGAGGCGAGAAUAAACAUAUAAGACGAGAAGACCCUAUGGAGCUUAAAUUAAUUAACUUAAUUGCUACCCUAUAAAUCUACAAGAUAUAACUAAGUAGCAUAAUAAAUUAACAAUUUUGGUUGGGGUGACCUCGGAGAAGAAAAAAACCUCCGAAUGAUAUUCUAAUCUAGACUCUACAAGUCAAAAUUUACUAAUCACUUAUUGACCCAAUAUUUGAUCAACGGAACAAGUUACCCUAGGGAUAACAGCGCAAUCCUACUCUAGAGUCCCUAUCGACAGCAGGGUUUACGACCUCGAUGUUGGAUCAGGACAUCCUAAUGGUGCAGCCGCUAUUAAGGGUUCGUUUGUUCAACGAUUAAAGUCCUACGUGAUCUGAGUUCAGACCGNNNNNNNCCAGGUCGGUUUCUAUCUAUAGUUCAUUUAUUCCAGUACGAAAGGACAGAAAAAAUAAGGCCAAUCUCACCAAGACGCCUUCAGCCAAAUUUAUGAAUAGAUCUCAAUUUAAAUAAGCUAAACUAUCCAAUCCAAGAACAGGAUCU
rnacentral:rRNA from 1 species